UUAUGAUUGACAUUCUAAGUUAAUGAGUUUUAAACAGCAUCGCUUUUUGACCGUUUUCUUCAUGUGUGCCCAUAAGUUAUAGGUAGUUCAGGCCAGUAGAUGCCGAGAAGGCAACGUUUUAUUGAUAUAUAGGAAAGUCACAUGUCUGACAAAAUGAAAGGUCAAGUUAAGUGGUUCAACGAGUCUAAAGGCUUUGGUUUUAUUACUCCAGCAGACGGAAGCAAAGACGUAUUCGUUCACUUUUCUGCCAUUCAAGGUAACGGUUUCAAAACUCUGGCUGAAGGUCAGAACGUAGAAUUCACAAUUGAAAACGGUGCAAAAGGUCCAGCAGCUGCUAACGUAACAGCUCUGUAAUUUAAAGCCUUUUAAAAAUUUUCUUCAAGCCUGUCACCUUAUGGUGGCAGGCUUUUU
rnacentral:sRNA from 1 species